AUAGGCCGGGUGUGUAAGCGUUGCGAGACGUUGAGCUAACCGGUACUAAUUGCCCGAGAGGCUUAGCCA
rnacentral:rRNA from 1 species